CCUCUAGAGUUAUACAAAGAAGUCAAGGACAGAACCUACUACAAGGUUAAAACAGAACUUUAUUCAUUUAGUUUCCAGGUCAACACAGAAUUUAUCUAGCGUACAAAGAAAGUACAAAGAACUGAAGAACAGAACUUUAUGCGCAAGAUCAAAACAGAACUUUAUUCAAUUUAUUUUUCAUGGUCCGUGGACUCCACACAGAACUUUUCUAGAGUACAAAGAACUCACGGACAGAACCUAGUGCAAGAUUGAUACAGAAUAUUAUUCCAUUUAUUCUCACCAUCAACACAAAAUUUAUUGAGAUCACAAGGAACUUAAGGACAGAACCUAAUGGGAGGUUUAAACAAUUUAAGACGAUUUAUUUCUCUAUCUAUGUUAACACAGAAUUUUUCUAAAGUACCAGGAUUCAGGAACGCAAGGACAGUAUACACUACAAGGUUAAAACAGAGCUUUAUUCCAUGUACUAGUAUUUCUCCAUGUCUACACAAAACGUAUCUAGAGUGUAAGGGACUCAAGAAUAGUAUAUACGGCAAGGUUAAAGCAGAACUCUACUCAGUUUAUUUUUCCAUAUCAACACAAUUUAUGUAAAGUACAAGGAAUGCAAGGACAAAACCUAAUGCAAGGCUUCAACAAACUCUAUUCAAGUUAUUGUUACCGUUAUAUUUGUUUACUUGUUCACUUGUUCACAUAUUCUGUAGUUAGUUUAACUCAUGUUCCUUAUAUGUAGCAAGUUAAUAUUUGAAGACAACAGUAUUCAAGUUUAGACUUCCAAUACACGACAUUUUACCACACCUUCUUACUCACCCUUUGUUAAAUAGUCAGAGAGUUAGAGAAGGAAGAAAAGAGAAGGGAAAGAAGAGACAGAUCACGCCACUAUUGUAUAGUGUUAAUGUUAUAAGAGGUUUGGACCACCCCCAUGCAACUAGUGGUAGGGUCCGGUUGUUCAUCAUUAUGGGUUCCAUCUAGAUGUUGUCAAAUAGAUUGUGCUCCUGACUAUGCGCUCACUGUCAUCCUUGAGUCGUCACCGUACGUGUUCCCUAUUGGCGCAAUCGCAUGCAAUACAAUGGGAACAGAUCAUGUUAGAACUAACGUUAGGGUGUUUUUUUCUACGUGUGUUUUACACAUGAUACUAGUAUGUCGCUGUGGCUUAUAGCAUGCCCUCAGUCCCCGCCACGGCCAAUGGAAUGUUUGGAGAAUAUGUCAAAGCUUUCAAGUUUGAUGCAACGUAAACCAAGCUGAUUACGAACACAGCAGUCAUUUCGCUGCCAGGCAGAGAGGAGACAACACGGCUCUGGGACCUGUCUCUGAUGAUUAAUAACGACUGCCCCCACGCACUGCACUUCGGGGCUCAUCAUAAAGAUGUCUAAGAAGUACAACUAUAAUACUUGCAGUGAAAAGGAAACAUCUCAUCAACAUGGACUUAUUAUUCUUUUCCUUAUCACUUUUAUUCUUCUUAUUCUUAUUCAAAAGCGAAUCAACAUAUUCGAAUAUUUUGAAUAUUUUGUUGGGCUUAAUAAGUGUUCAGGUACAGGUUGAUAUGUGUGUGUCUCUCUGAUCUCUCGAUCUCAGCACAGGUCGGGCAAGAGAGAUCCACACGAACUCCUACCGCCGCAAGGGACGUCGCUGAUGGCUUACACUGGAAGACGAGCUGUAUCACUGAAGGGAAGGACAUCCGUGUGCAAAUUGCUACAAGGGCACUGAGGCUGGGUGCCAUGCAAAACCAGAAACAAUGUUGCCCGAAGGAGCAAGGCCAUGAGAGGGAAAUGCCAGACCGGCAGUAGAGCCGCAUGCAACCAAGCGAUUGUGCUGCUAUUGAAGGAAAAACUGACUGCAGUUAGAGAAUUCAUGGACUAACAAAAGUAACAUAUAUGUGCUGUCUGCGUUAUUUGACUUUUACGAUUACCUGUUGUCUAUUCUAUUAUGUCAUAUUAAGGAAUGUAAAAAAAAUAAUUCAAUUGACCUAGACAACGACGGUCUAAAGGGUGGAUAUACGAAUGGUAGACAUCCCAACCAAAUGUAUAUGAAAUCUUUAUUGACACGACAAAAGUACAGCGACUUUCGUGAGGAUUAUAACAAGUACUUACAAUACAACUAAGCAGACGUAUAUGCAUAUUUACAGAUAUGAAUAAGUCAACAUAUUAUUUCUAGCAUGUCAUUUACAUAAUUCAAACGUUGCCUGCAAAUUUCUUGAGUUACAAACAGACUUUUACCAAUCUAACGUUUUCGGGAGUUUCUCAACGCUACAAAUACACGUCCAUGCAGCCGUUUACUUUUUGGGACUUUUUGGAACUCGGAGUAAUACAUCAAUGGGACCUUACAAGUAUAUUGUGCAUACAAGCUGCAGCAGCCUUUCACUCCGUCACUUACAAGAAGAUACAACACAACGUUUGCUAGAUGUAAUAAUGUAUUAAUGUAGUGAUGUAUUAUUGUACUAUGAUUGUUAUUCUUAGACAGUUAUUCGUUUGAUGACGUAAACUGCAACAGACCGAGAUGUACAAGUAACCAAUGUUGAGUGAUAUGAGCGGAGUUGAGUAGAUGUCUGUCAGGUAAAACAGAAUACAAAGACGGAAGAUUUCUACGGCAGUUCGGGAGAGCAGACAUUUGUCUGGUACUGAGACAGAAUGUGAAGACAAGAGAGUGUAAGGUAAGAGAGUUCAGUUCAGGAGAGACAAUAGAGAACUUCAGUUAA